AUAUGAACAACGCAAACACAACAUUCUUCUCAAAAAGCGUUCCUACGAGGUCUACUGGCCUAUGAAGUAAGGAAAUCGUCAUAGAGAAUGGAGAUGGAGCUUUGGGGUCGAUCUUGGGUGCAGUGCCUGCCAGACUUUUUUUGUCUAGUGGUAGGGAUUGCAAUGAUGGACUCUACAU
rnacentral:sRNA from 1 species